rnacentral:rRNA from 1 species
UACGUAGGGGGCGAGCGUUGUCCGGAAUUACUGGGCGUAAAGGGUGCGUAGGCGGCCUGAUAAGUCAGAUGUGAAAUACCACGGCUUAACCGUGGGGGUGCAUUUGAAACUGUUGGGCUUGAGUGCAGGAGAGGAAAGCGGAAUUCCUAGUGUAGCGGUGAAAUGCGUAGAGAUUAGGAGGAACACCAGUGGCGAAGGCGGCUUUCUGGACUGUAACUGACGCUGAGGCACGAAAGCGUGGGUAGCGAACAGG